AAGACAUAAAGUCAAUAUCACCCUCCGAUUGCAAUGAAAAAAUGUUUGGAUCGCUUAAGGUUUAAGCCUUUCAGACAUUUU
rnacentral:ncRNA from 1 species